rnacentral:lncRNA from 1 species
AACUCGAUCACGCGUGCGCUCCGACAGUGAGAGCCUCUUUUUUUUCUCUCUCCUGGUGCGACGGCCACCAAGGCAGUGGCCAGGCAAUGCGGGAAGGAUGGGAAUGGGUGAUGGCGGCGCAAAAGGUCGGGGGCCGACGCCCUGGCCCGUGACACCUCCUAGUCGAGCAAGAGGCCGCGCGCCCGAAGAAAGAGAAAAGCGUCGAGCGUGCCGACGUCGCCCAAGGCGGGUCCGGGACCGUGGCCCCAGAGACCGCGAUGCACAGUGUCCCUUUCGUGGGCAUGGGCCGUCGAUACGGGUCCCGGACGCCACCAACGUUGCCACGCUGCCGUCGAUGCCACGGGCGGUGCCAACAAGUCUGUCUCACACGACUCUUGUGUCCAGGCGGCGACGCCGGGCCGCGCGGCGCGACUGGCCUCUAAAAGACUCUCGGCACAUGACCGACCAUCGACCCGUGCCAGCACAUAGGCCAUGGCGCCGGCCAGGCCGUUGGGCGACGGUCUGAGAUGGCCCCAAAGUCGUGUGAGCGCCGACCACGGAUCGACGGCAUCACGCAAAGCGGUUGCAUCCCCGCCGACGUGUGUCAUGUCGGCGGCAAGUCCCUCCAAGGCCAGCGUGAGACGCUCAGCGAUCGCGGCCGCGCCGCGGGCGACGAGUUCCUCGCACGCGAUCGACACAAAUGUGUCUGCCAAGGCGCGACAGGAUUUGCCAUUGUCGACCUCCACGCGGGCGGCCGUCAUGGGGCCAAAGAGAGCAACCAGACCAAAGACGCAACGCAUAUCGCAAUGAUAAGGUCCCGAAUGACGCGCCAUCUCGCACAAGAGACGCUUGCCGUCGCCGGCCUUUAGGGCGGCAUGUCUGGGCGCCUCGUCGCCGCCACCACCGUUGUUGGCGACGCGGUCACGUACCCAGGCCACCGUGUGGACGGCCCGGUAGGGGUCCCAUGGCACAUGGAUAUCCGAGUGAUGGUCGUGGUGUGGUUCGACCACCGCAUCGCAGGCCACGGAAAAGGCAUCCACGGACCAGCCGCGCGCCGCACACCGCUCCAGACACCAGGCGAGGGCCUUGAUGUUGCCCGCUGCGGCAGCCAUCUCCACGAGGGCCUCGAUAUUGGCCCGCGGUGUGUCCUUGGUGCCCAAGAUGGUCUCGCCGCCCCACUGGGCAAGGAAUUCCAACACGCGCGUGCCACCGUGGACGGCGGCCGCUUGCGCCGCGAUCACAGUGCACGGACCAUCGUCGUACCGCCGACCCAUGCGCUUCAAGAGCACGAGGGGCACAACCGGCGAUCCGGGCGCAAAGCCUGCCUUGGCGAUCGCUUCGGCAAUAAACUUGCACAUUACGUUGAUG